rnacentral:rRNA from 1 species
UGGGGAAUUUUGGACAAUGGGGGAAACCCUGAUCCAGCCAUCCCGCGUGUGCGAUGAAGGCCUUCGGGUUGUAAAGCACUUUUGGCAGGAAAGAAACGUCAUGGGUUAAUACCCCGUGAAACUGACGGUACCUGCAGAAUAAGCACCGGCUAACUACGUGCCAGCAGCCGCGGUAAUACGUAGGGUGCAAGCGUUAAUCGGAAUUACUGGGCGUAAAGCGUGCGCAGGCGGUUCUGAAAGAAAGAUGUGAAAUCCCAGAGCUCAACUUUGGAACUGCAUUUUUAACUACCGGGCUAGGGUGUGUCAGAGGGAGGUGGAAUUCCGCGUGUAGAAGUGAAAUGCGUAGAUAUGCGGAGGAACACCGAUGGCGAAGGCAGCCUCCUGGGAUAAAACUGACGCUCAUGCACGAAAGCGUGGGGAGCAAACAGG